CAAAUCGCUCCACGUUUCCAUAAACAUUUUCCAUGCUAAUCUGCAUUCUUGCUCCCUGGUUCAUUCUUUCUGGUUUGGUUUGCAACUGCUUAUUAAAUUAUUGUGCAUAAUCAGUUCUAACUUUUCUUUGUAAAAGCUAUUUUUUCAACUGUUUACAUCCUUCCUUAUUUAUUGUUUCAGAAAGCAUUUGUAAUUCGCUUACAGUUUCACUUCCACUUUUUAUGAAAAUGUCAUGUAGAUGUGAAAAUUGAUUAAAAUUUUAACACAACUAAAAUAUAUGAGAAGAAUUGAUGCCCUCUCUAGG